rnacentral:rRNA from 1 species
GACGAACGCUGGCGGCGUGCUUAACACAUGCAAGUCGAACGAAGUGGCGAACGGGUGAGUAACGCGUCAUCAACCUGCCCUUCAGCGUGGGACAACAGUUGGAAACGACUGCUAAUACCGCAUACUGAAGGAGGUGAUUGCGUCUGAUUAGCUAGUUGGAGGGGUAACGGCCCACCAAGGCGAUGAUCAGUAGCCGAGCUGAGAGGAUGAACGGCAACAUUGAGACUGAGACACGGCCCAGACUCAUACGGGAGGCAGCAGUGGGGAAUCUUCCGCAAUGGACGAAAGUCUGACGGAGCAACGCCGCGUGAGUGAUGACGGGCUUCGAGUUGUAAAGCUCUGUUAAUCGGGACGCGGUACCGGAAUAGAAAGCCACGGAUAACUACGUGCCAGCCGCCGCGGUAAUUC